rnacentral:rRNA from 1 species
GAUGAACGCUAGCGGCAGGCCUAAUACAUGCAAGUCGAACGGUAAGUAUGAUAGCAAUAUUGUACCAAGAGUGACGUACGGGUGCGUAACACGUGUGCAACCUACCCUUUACAGAUGGAUAGCUCGGGGAAACUCGAAUUAACCCGUCAUAGUAUGGUUGAAUGGCAUCAUUUAAUUAUUAAAACUGAGGUGGUAAAGGAUGGGCAUGCGUCUGAUUAGUUAGUUGGCGGGGAACGGCCCACCAAGACGAUGAUCAGUAGGGGAACU